AUAAAUUUGGUGAUUUGACAAUUUGGCGUGGGUCAUUUUGAUAAAUUUAGUGAUUUAACGCAAAUGGGCUGCCCCUUUUUUUUGGUAGUGAAACGUCUACACCACGACAAAUCUUGAUGCAACGAUAUGUCUUAUAUAUGACUUUUCAUUUUAAACACGCAUCCAAAUGUGUGUCAUCUUGUAUAAGGAAAAGCGUCCAAACGACGCUCACCAUGCAUGAAAACAAACUAAAAGCGAAAAGAGAACAAAACUAUACUCUAAUUUAGCUAAAAGAAAAAGAAAAAACCAAAAUAGACUAAAAAGUAGCUUGGGCAAGGGCCUAUCGUGCAGUGACGGCCUCUGCAAAGACUUAGCACCAACCAUCAUACAAACACACAUCCGAAUGCGUGUUAUUUUGUAUUAGAAGAAAUCGUCAGAAUGACAGGCACCGUGUAUCGAAGACAAACAAAAACAGAAAAAGAAGAUAAGUACACGAAGCUAAACUGAAAGAAAAGAAAGGUCGGAGACCAAGAAAAGCACAGACCGCCACAUGUUCUAUGCUACAAGACGGGUACAUGUUUUGUUUCGGGUAGCCUUAAUGCCCAAACAUCGUAAAAGGGUACGGUCUCUUUGAUUGGAAGAAAAAUUAUGAGAAUCUUGUUUCCAACUUUUUUCCGCAUACAACUCGUUUGAUCUGCAAUAUUUGAAACCAUACGAGUUUUUUUUUUCCAUCGACUACUUUGCAUAUAAUUCUAAGGAAAACAUUCCUUAAGAUCUAACAACAUGAAGAAAAUUAUUUAUUUUUAUGACAAACUACGAAUAACACGUAAUUCUUCAAUUAAGUUCCGGUUUUGUUAUGAUGCAAUCAGAUAGAUUUUACUACUUCGUACGGUAUUCCUAUAUUUUUUGCAGAGCUAUACGAUUCGAUAUAGCAACGCCAUUCAAUUUCUAUUUUAUAUGUUUAUAUAUGGGACUGGAGC
rnacentral:lncRNA from 1 species